UACGUAGGGCGCAAGCGUUGUCCGGAAUUAUUGGGCGUAAAGAGCUCGUAGGCGGUCUGUCGCGUCCGUUGUGAAAACUCGAGGCUCAACCUCGGGCUUGCAGUGGAUACGGGCAGACUAGAGUGCGGUAGGGGAGACUGGAAUUCCUGGUGUAGCGGUGAAAUGCGCAGAUAUCAGGAGGACACCGGUGGCGAAGGCGGGUCUCUGGGCCGUAACUGACGCUGAGGAGCGAAAGCGUGGGGAGCGAACAGGG
rnacentral:rRNA from 1 species